UGCAUGGUGGCGCAGAUGGUAGCACUGUUGCCUUGCAGCGAGAAGGUCCUGGGUUCGAUUCCCAUGCAUGCGU